rnacentral:rRNA from 1 species
GAUGAACGCUGGCGGCGUGCCUAAUACAUGCAAGUCGAGCGAACAGACGAGGAUCUUGCUCCUCUAACGUUAGCGGCGGACGGGUGAGUAACACGUGUAUAACCUACCUAUAAUACUGGUAUAACUUCGGGAAACCGGAGCUAAUACCGGAUAAUAUAUUGAACCGCAUGGUUCAAUAGUGAAAGACGGCUUUGCUGGCAGUUAUAGCUGGAUCUGCGCCGCAUUAGCUAGUUGGUAAGGUAACGGCUUAUCAAGGCAACGAGGCGUAGCCGACCUGAGAGAGUGAUAGGCGACCCUGGAGGUGAGACGCGGUCAAGACGCCUAAGGGAGGCAGCAGUAGGGAACCGUACGCAGUAGGCGAAAGCCUGACGGAACAAGGCCGCGUCAGAGAUGAAGGUCUUCGGAUCGUAAUACUCUGUUAUUAGGGAAGAACAAAUGUGUAAGUAAAUAUGCACGUCUUGACGGUACUUAAUCAGAAAGCAACGGCUAACUACGUG